UAGGUUCUCAUAGUUGA
rnacentral:tRNA from 2 species